GAUGAACGCUGGCGGCGUGCUUAACACAUGCAAGUCGAACGGAAAGGCCCAAGCUUGCUUGGGUACUCGAGCGGCGAACGGGUGAGUAACACGUGGGUGAUCUGCCCUGCACUUCGGGAUAAGCCUGGGAAACUGGGUCUAAUACCGGAUAGGACGAUGGUUUGGAUGCCAUUGUGGAAAGUUUUUUCGGUGUGGGAUGAGCUCGCGGCCUAUCAGCUUGUUGGUGGGGUAAUGGCCUACCAAGGCGUUGACGGGUAGCCGGCCUGAGAGGGUGUACGGCCACAUUGGGACUGAGAUACGGCCCAGACUCCUACGGGAGGCAGCAGUGGGGAAUAUUGCACAAUGGGCGCAAGCCUGAUGCAGCGACGCCGCGUGGGGGAUGACGGCCUUCGGGUUGUAAACUCCUUUCGCUAGGGACGAAGCGUUUUGUGACGGUACCUGGAGAAGAAGCACCGGCUAACUACGUG
rnacentral:rRNA from 1 species